ensembl:snRNA U5 U5 spliceosomal RNA
AUACUCUGGUUUCUCUUCAGAUCACAUAAAUCUUUCGCCUUUUACUAAAGAUUUCCGUGGAGAGGAACAUCGAGGAGUUCUGAAGGAAUUUUUUGAGGCCCUGCUUUGGUGGGGCU